UACGAAGGGUGCAAGCGUUACUCGGAAUUACUGGGCGUAAAGCGUGCGUAGGUGGUUCGUUAAGUCUGUCGUGAAAGCCCCGGGCUCAACCUGGGAAUGGCGAUGGAUACUGGCGGGCUAGAGUGCGGUAGAGGAGAGUGGAAUUCCCGGUGUAGCAGUGAAAUGCGUAGAGAUCGGGAGGAACAUCAGUUGCGAAGGCGGCUCUCUGGACAGUUCCUGACACUGAGGCACGAAGGCCAGGGGAGCAAACGGG
rnacentral:rRNA from 1 species